rnacentral:rRNA from 1 species
AUGAACGCUGGCGGCGUGCCUCAUACAUGCCAGUCGAGCGCACGGACGAGAAGCUUGCUUCUCUGAUGUUAGCGGCGGACGGGUGAGUAACACGUGGAUAACCUACCUAUAAGACUGGGAUAACUUCGGGAAACCGGAGCUAAUACCGGAUAAUAUUUUGAACCGCAUGGUUCAAAAGUGAAAGACGGUCUUGCUGUCACUUAUAGAUGGAUCCGCGCUGCAUUAGCUAGUUGGUAAGGUAACGGCUUACCAAGGCAACGAUGCAUAGCCGACCUGAGAGGGUGAUCGGCCACACUGGAACUGAGACACGGUCCAGACUCCUACGGGAGGCAGCAGUAGGGAAUCUUCCGCAAUGGGCGAAAGCCUGACGGAGCAACGCCGCGUGAGUGAUGAAGGUCUUCGGAUCGUAAAACUCUGUUAUUAGGGAAGAACAUAUGUGUAAGUAGCUGUGCACAUCUUGACGGUACCUAAUCAGAAAGCCACGGCUAACUACGUG